UUAAAAAAAACAAAAUGAAAUUUUACAUUAGAAAUGCUCUAACGGAUUCCAGCUACCUACCGGUGUCCUCUAACCGAGAGCACCACCAUACUGCCAAAAAAUUACCAGAGUGGAGAGGCUAUCAUAUGAAAUACGCCACUGCAUGGACCAAACCGAAAAGGCUAGAAGAGAGAGAAGCACCACCGCAUCUCGACUAUUCCAUCUUGUUGCUCAAGAUCCAAAGAGGAAAGGUCGCUCCGAGACCGGCAAGCUCGCCGACCACCAAAGUGCCUCCAAAAACCCUAGUAACGACGAAGAACAGAGCUGAUAAAAACCAGAUAGGGGUCCGUGUAACUUAGAUGCCACUCAAAGGCCGAUCAUCGGUUCAGAUAUUAAAAAAAAUAUAUAUAUAUAUAUAUAUAUAUGAUUGAUGCUAAAUGUAUUCAUAACUUUAGUUAGAGUAAUUAUGGUAGUCUCAGUUUUAUGAUAUAUGGUAUAAUUGGUUGAAACAAACCAACAGUAAUCAACUUACCCAACCUUAAUCUUACCGGAGUUUUGUUUUACGUUAAUUGAUAUCAUUUUCCAACUAAAAAUCCUAAAAGAUUCUGACUUGAUAAAGAAGCACUUUAGGGUCAGUGGGACUUGGAUGAUAUUGAAUUACUUGAUUUAAGAAUAACUGAAAUCAAUACCAUUAAAAGGGGAUCAUUCCCAAAUUAUACCCUUAAUGAAAAUUGUAGUUUUCUCAAAAAUACCUUUAUUUUUACAAAAUGAUUAAUAAAAUUCAUUAAUGGCAUUUAAGUCUUUUGGUUUUGGGCCUACAGAUGCACCUAAAUAGAUCUAUAAAUAAUGAGCUUAUAUAUAUAUUCAAAAGAUAUACUAACUUUAUAUUUAAUAUAAUAUAAAUAUAUUAUGAAGUAUAAAUAAAUUACAAAAUGUGACAAUAUUAUUUUCUUAAAUAUACGUAUCAAUAUUCAAAAUAGAUCAUUUGAAUAUUAUACAGAUUUUCAAUACAAACCAAAAUCCUAUAUCCUACACCAUAUAUCAUAUACAUAUUUGAAUAUCAUUUUUCCAUGUAUAAUGUCAUUUUAUACAUGAUAUUGAUAUGGCAAUUACGAGUGUUCAAGAAUAUUUUAAAAACUAUCUUAAAAUAAAUUUUUAAAUCUAAAAUAAAAACACAAACUUAUAAUACAUUAUUAAUAACAAAAAUAAACUAAUAUUUUCAUAUCAAUAAGUUUUUUUAUAUUAUCAUUUUCAUUUGGAUAAUAUAAUAAAUUUUUAUCAAAUUCUAAAGAAUCACUAAUUUAUGUAAUAUUUAAAAAUAUAUGAGUAAUUUAAUCAAUUUUUUAAAAAAAGUACUAUCAGAUAUUUUGUAACCGGAUCAAUGGUAUCAGAUCGCAUGUUAAUAGUGAGUUUUUGGGUUUUUACCAGGUUAUAUCAGAAUUUUAAUUAACGAAUUUUUCAUUAAAUCCGAACCGGAUUAUAAACAAUGUAUCAAGUCUAUAGGUUCAACCAUGAAUCUAGGUCAGAUAUGAAAACAAAUUUUAAUACUCAAACUUUAUCAUAGAACAACUACUAUAUUUCGAACAAAUACUAUAUUUGAAGAAGAAAAAAAACAAAUGAUAAAAACCUAAAAACUCAAUUGUAAUAGUUCAAAACAAAAAUAAUGAUAAUUUGUAAAUCAGUUUCGAUUAAUAAAUUAAAAACGAACAAACCCGCGCUUUCUAAGCGCGGAUCAAAAUCUAGUUUUUAUUAAAGCUGCAUUUAUGUGAAGUCAACAGAAAUUUACAUGUAUUAAAAUUUCAUCCAAUUUUGUACCACAGCAACUUUAAAAAUCUAAGUUGUGCUUUAUGAGUUAAUUUGUUAAAAAUAUCAUUUCAAUAAAAUAUUUUUAAUAGUUAUAUAAUCAAUAAAUUAGUUUUACAAAAUUAAAUAGCAAUAGAUUUUGAAUGACUACAUUGUUUAAAAAAAUGUUAACAGUGGAUUAGUUAAGAUUUUUACAAUCCAUAAACUAAUAUCAGUAAGCUUUUUGUAACAAUCAACAAAAAUCUGAUUCCCACUAACUUGGUAUAAAAUAUUUGCUCAAUUUAUUUUUGUUAUAAAUUUUAUUUUGCUACUAAUGAAAAUUUGUGAAUCUGAUAACUAGACGGUAAUGGAAAAACCACGUGGUGAUGAAAACAAAAGACACAAUACAAAUUUUCAGAAUUAAUUAGUCAUGGUUAUAUCUGCCACUAAUGGUAAGUAAGCCCACUUGAUGCUAACUUAUAGAUACUAAUUUCCCUCCCACGUUCAGCGUGCAUUACAGCCAUAUAUAUAUAUAUAUAUAUAUUUUGAUAAAAUCAUUACAGCCAUAUAUUAAUACUUUAUUAGUAGCUUAUACGAAUUAAUCAACACCUACGUGGUUGACAUGCAAAUUAUUCAAAGCUAAUGUGAUUAGAACUUAAUUAUAUAAAUAAAAUUUGACUUUUAUUUUAUAAUAUUAUACGAAUUAGGUUUAAAUUACAAAUAUGAUCAACUUGAGAAAGUAUUUUAGUUUUGAGAAAUAUUUUAAUAUACAUUGACUUUUGUUUUGUAUCUGUUUAAUAUAUAAAUUGACUUUUUGCCUGUAAAAUAAAAAUAUACUAACUAAUUUACGAGGAUCUAUGACCAAAGACUUGAAUAUUUAUUUGUUUAUUUCCUUAUUAGUUUUGAAAAUUAUAAAAGUAAUAACUAUCGAGCCAAAUAUCUUCUAAAACUGAUACAUAUAUAUAUAUAAGAAUUUCACAGUUAAGUAGUAUUAUUUUUUAACAAGUGCAGCUAAUGUUUAAAACCAUAUCAGUCAUUACAAUAUAUGACCCACCGUAGAUUACUUAUAAUUAGCGAAUUAUUAAACAUAAAUUAAUGUAGAUAGCAGUUUUUAUUAUACAGUUCGAUGAUAUGCAUAGACUGUGUAAGUCCCGAGUUUCUUUUUGUUGGUUAGAAAUUCUAAUCUUUAUAGAAAUUUCUUGAAGUUAACUAUAAUAUUUGAUCAUAUUUUUAGUCGUUGGCAAAAAUCAUAUAGCCGAUCCAAAAAUAUUUUCACUUAAAACAGCACCAAGCGGGUAAACACUUUGACAAAAAUAAGUUGAAUUCGAGACAGUCAAAAUUGGUUAGAGUCAGAGAUCGACAAACUUACAAUCAGCACAUAGUUUAGUUGCAUUGUGUUACCAAGAUUAUGGCCUCCUUAUAAGGAUAAGAGAUAAGAAGAUGUGAAUCUUCAUAUUGAAGAAACGUCCACAUCUAAGUUACAAAAAAAAAACGUCCAUAUCUCCACAUAACGUUUAAUAAUUACGUAUUCAUGAAUUCUAAAAGUAGAGUAGGGACUAUAUAGUUGGGGAUAUACAUCAUAGAACGAUUCCAAUUAAAUGUUCUGGAACAAGAAACAUACAUACGCGGUCAAAUAAAUAUGAUGCAUCGUUACGCGGCCGAAGAUUUUGUCUUUCGCUGCUCGUUUGUACGUAGUCGUGGUACGACUUCAUCCAUUUAAUUUGUAUUAUAAUGUAUAUUGAAUUAUUAUAUGACAUAUUGGAAUUUAAUUUUCAAAAAUGGCGUGCAAUCAUGCUGGUGUUAUUACAUCGUAAAGGAGAAAAAUCAAAGUGACAAUUUAAUCGGUAAAUUUCGCAAAAUUAAUAUAGUAGGUGAUUGGUUGAGGUGUAAUUGUAAUUUUUUUACUGUAGAAUUUUACAUGUAUAAUUUUUUAUGUAGCUAUAGGCAAUAUAGCUUUAAAAGUUAAAUGAGAAAAUAAUAAAAAUGAAAAGAUAUUUUUAUAAUAAUAUUUUUUUUCUACAGCUUACAAGGAGUAAUGUUUUAGAAAACAAGAUUGCUACAACCAUUUUUUUUUUAUUUUUGACUUUAUCUUUAAAAGAUAAAAAAUGAUUGGUAACUUUUAUAAUUAUAGACAGAAAUUAAAGCUAUAUCAUUUGUAAUGUCCCAACCAAUCAUACUACAUGAAUAAAAAAGACGCUUUGACUAGAAGCAAUGCAGAAACAAAAGUCAAAAAUAUUAACAGCUUACGAAAAAAUCUAAAUCUAAAACCAACAAUGAAAACAAUUACCAACGAAUAAAACUCUAUAAAUCCAGAGAAUCGAAGACUUGAAUUUUUUAAAGGACUCAAUUUAGAACAAAAAGAACAUAAACUAUCAUAUGAAAGAGAGAAACAUGGGAUACAACUUACAAGAAUACAAUAUUUUUCUCAAAAACACACACACACACACACACACACCACACACACACACACACACAUAUAUAUAUAUAUAUAUAUAUAUAUAUCAAUUUUAGAUGCAAUAUCUAUAUUUUUAUCAUUUGAUGAAGUUACUAGUUUUCUACGUUGGUUCCUUUAACAAAGACGUUAAAAGUUAUUGUCUUGUUUAUUUUUCUGUACUUGCCCCCACACGGUAUUAUGUUACAGUCAUUUAAAGUAGAAAGGAUAAUAUGAUGUGACAAUGAUUAGUUAGAUUGUCUGUACCCGACGUACAACUUGUAAGUUGCAACUGUAACUUUUAUAUUUCCACAUAUAAUUAGUGUUCCUCUUUUGGUACCCAAUAUCCAAAGGAAGAGUAAAACAAACAGAAAAACUAAAUCUAUUUCCCUUCUAAUUAAAAUAUAAGAUUUUUAUAUAUUUUCGUGUACACAUAAUUACACAACUUCAAGGCAGCAAGUAGAUAACGAUUCCAAAACAUGAAAAUACUAGAGACCCAAGACCUCAUCAUAGAUCUCAUCAACUAACUUAAUAUGCAUUGGCAGAAUGCACUGGUCAGAUAGUCUUUCAAAACCACAGCGAACUGCCUUAUACUCUAUAUACUUCAGAGCGUAAACACCACAAUCUCCAGGAUCUUCAUUCUUAGGCACACUUUUAGGUCUUGAAAUCCUGAACUGUUGUGAACUCUUCUUCCUUUUUGAAACCAUUUCAUUUAGCAAUAACGGAAUCAUUUUCGUGAAAGGACGACACUCUUCUAGAAGAUCCGUGAUGCUCGGGACAGCUGUCUGUAUGCUGUCAUAAACAUGAAUUAUUUUCUUGUCAAGAUCGACUUCUAAAGCGAUCCAAUGGUUACCAUUGAUCAAGUGGCAAAGAAACAACCGAUCAACAUCCUUCAGCCACUUUCUGUUGUUGGAAAACUCUUCAGGAUAAUUGCCAUUAAAGACCUUACGUAUCUGAGAACUUCCAUGUCUUAGGAUCGUAUUUCACUAUUUCUUGUAGUCUCUGACCCACGUUUUGAAAAACCAGUGGUCAAGAAAAGCUAUCCUUGAUGAGUAUGGUGAAGGGUUCCUCAUAGAUUUUUU